rnacentral:sRNA from 1 species
CCCUAGCCCUGAUCGCAGUGAAACUCCUUAUGAACUAGCCUUGAAUUUUUUCUUUGGCUAAAAGAGCGACCAAAGGAAGCUCCUUUUUGGCUGUAGAAAAAACAAGGAUAGGAAUAAGAGUGGAGCGAAGAGCGGGAGUGGCU